rnacentral:rRNA from 1 species
AUACGUAGGGAGCGAGCGUUGUCCGGAUUUAUUGGGUUUAAAGGGUGCGCAGGCGGCCAUUUAAGUCAGCGGUUAAAUCGUGGGGCUCAACCCCAUUCUGCCGUUGAUACUGGGUGGCUUGAUUGCGGUCGAGGUUGGCGGAAUUCGUUGUGUAGCGGUGAAAUGCAUAGAUAUGACGAAGAACACCGAUUGCGUAGGCAGCUGACCAGACCGCAAAUGACGCUCAUGCACGAAAGUGCGGGGAUCGAACAGGAUUAGAUACCCUGGUAGUCCGCACAGUAAACGAUGAAUACUUGUUUUCGGCGAUAUAAUGUCGGAGGCAAAGCGAAAGCGAUAAGUAUUCCACCUGGGGAGUACGCCGGCAACGGUGAAACUCAAAUGAAUUGGCGGGG